UUUUUUUUCAGGUGGGAAAACCAAGGCAGAGAGAGGUUUGAUCACUUGCCAGAGAUGGGGUGGCUGGAAGGUGGCCGAGGCCAGGCUUAAGGGCAGGCAGCUGGCUGUCACCGCAGCCUCCCCAGACCACCAGACGCCCCUCUGUAAAGGAGGGACCCCGGGACUGUUCUGGAAGGACAGGGGCAGCUGGAGACCUGCAUUGCAGCCAUGCGGAACAGUGCUUUACAGAACCCGGGGGAACCUCUGUCGUCUGUGUGGAUGCUGCCUAAAAACACGACAGCCGAGAGCCACACACGGCUACGCAGCAAUCAAAAUCCAGUACAACUGGACAUGAAGAAAUUCUUCAAUGGAAAUAUUCUCCGAAUGUCACUGCCCACAUGUCAGCGUAUUGAAAUCUUACAAAAAUGAUU